UACGAAGGGGGCUAGCGUUGCUCGGAAUGACUGGGCGUAAAGGGGCGCGUAGGCGGUUUGCACAGUCAGGCGUGAAAUUCCUGGGCUUAACCUGGGGGCUGCGCUUGAUACGUGUGGACUGGAGUGCGGAAGAGGGUCGUGGAAUUCCCAGUGUAGAGGUGAAAUUCGUAGAUAUUGGGAAGAACACCGGUGGCGAAGGCGGCGACCUGGUCCGUGACUGACGCUGAGGCGCGAAAGCGUGGGGGAGCAAACAGG
rnacentral:rRNA from 1 species